rfam:Candidatus Magasanikbacteria bacterium RIFCSPHIGHO2_02_FTLL_48_18 rifcsphigho2_02_scaffold_236, whole genome shotgun sequence.
GUGGCCAUAGUGAAACGGUUAUCACGCGAGUUUGUGGCACUCGCAGUACGGGUUCGAUUCCCGUUGGCCACC